rnacentral:rRNA from 1 species
UACGUAGGGGGCGAGCGUUGUCCGGAGUUACUGGGCGUAAAGCGCUUGUAGGCGGUCCACCAAGUUUGGGGUGACAGUUGCCGACUUAAUCAGCAAAGUGCCUCAAAGACUGGCGGACUUGAGGGCCACAGAGGGACAUGGAACUCCAGGUGUAGUGGUGAAAUGCGUAGAUAUCUGGAGGAACACCGGUGGCGAAGGCGGUUCUCUGGGCCUGUACUGACGCUGAGGAGCGAAAGCGUGGGGAGCGAACAGG